CAACCCCCAUUGCUAACAAAUUUGUUUGUUUUAAAUGUAAUAACAUCGUUUGCCAUUUACUAUAUUACAUAUAGAGGGGCCUGGGUCUAGCCUCUUUUACAUCAUUUUUUCACAGCCGCGAUGGCGCGAAUGACUUGAAUUCCUUUUUACACGUUUUGAAAAUGGUUCCGGAUGCCUUCUACAUCCGUAACAUGGUAAACUUAUAUGCUUUUCAGAUGAUGUUGAUACAUACACUCGGGUUUCUAGUGGAAACGCUGCCACACUUGUGACCAGAGUCAGAAGACUUGAAAGAACAGCAAACAACAUGUCGAUUUGAAGGUGUUUAAAAAGGUCAAAAAGAGAGCGUCAGGAAAUCCAAAUGGUGGAAAAUAGCUCUCAGGUAAAAGUUUUGAAUAUGUGAAUGGGCUAACGUGUGUGCAGGACUAUGACCAUGAAAUUAUACAUAAAGAAGAAGAGAGAGACCUCGAUUGAUCAAAAGCCAAAUGGAGAUGGUUGACUUUAGCCAGAACGAUCUAGUCUGAAGUCUAGAAAGAUCCUUGGUCAUCCACCGAAAAAAACCUGCACUGAAGGCAUGACAACCUCAACCAACCUUUACACAUGUAAGUUGAAAUUUUCUAACUUUAGAAUUGUUCAUGCGAAAAAUUUGACUCCAAUAUUAUAAAUUGCCUCCUUCUCGUUAACGGGUGCUUGUACAAUUUAGCAAAACAAAAGUACGAUUUUGCCUGUUAGUUUGAAAAUAUGUUUUAGAAUAUAAUUUUUAAUGCUGGUGACCUUCUAAAAAGGAACUUGCAGAGAAAUUUCUGAUAUGGCCGUAAAAUCCCCUCGCCAGCUGGCCCAGCGAGAAUUCCAUAAGUGCUCCUUUGCUGAAAAUUGUUUUAAAAUUCAUUCGAUCUGGUUUCUGUUGUCUUUUGUGUACGUAAGUAUAUUUUCUAUUUGCUUUGCUUCAUUAUGGUUAUGCAGUCUCAAUUUGAAGUUACUGCUAUACUCUCUGUUUUUGCCCUCAGUUGCGUCACAGUUCGAAAAAUGCCGUUUUACAUUUAAUCUCACCCAGUAAAAAUUCUCUGUUUCUCUGUUUUGGGGUGAUUCUUAAUCGAUUUCAAGCUUAUUCGAGUCCUAUGUAAAAAGGAUUGCAUGUUUUAUUGCGAUUUGUGAAAUAGGAAAAGAGGAUAAUUGAUGUUUUCUUGGUCAACUCUAAGGCAUUUUGAUUUUAGAAACUUUAACAAUGCAAGUUUUCUGUUCAUUGCUUCUGUUUAGAGCUUCGUUGUUCGAUGUGAUUUCUAGCUGCAUAAUUAUGGAUCAAAAACUUUAUAUGUCGAAGCAGCCUAACGGUUUAAUUGAAUGUUACAAAAAUGCAGCCACUUAUUUCAGCCCACGUAAUUCAGCCCGCGUAAUUCAGCGGCGUAAUUCAGCCCGCGUAAUUCAGCCGCGUAAUUCAGCCUUCUUAAUUCAGCCUUAGUAUUUCAGCGCACGUAAUUCAUCAAAGCGAUAUCAGACUGAUAGACCCUUGGCAUUGAACAUCAGCUUUUAGAAUAUGCAAAUUUCGGUCAAGUUAUUUGAUUUCCUGAUCCUAAGAUUCAUCGCCUUGGGUCUAAAAAACAGUUAUCCGAAGAAAUGAAAUCUCCUCCUACAUGUUCCGGAAUAUGUGAUACUUAAAGAAAUAGGAUAUAAAUCGGCUAGAUCCGAAUAAUCUAUAUCUUUUGUAGUGCUUCUUUGCGAAAACAAUGGAUAUAAUCAAUUGACGCGCGAGCUGAGUCAUUCUAUCGAUCAUCAAAUGUUGAAGCAAAGACAACAACUUUUUCUGAAGAUUCCCCUCCCUAAUUGCACUUACAAAAUUUGGCACAUGGCUGUUUCUGUAUGCGCAAAUACAUUACAGAUGAAAAAAUUGAGAGUUUUACAGGAACAAAAAGUUUUGAAAUACAUUUUUAUCAAAAGAAGGAUAGUGUAGCAAAUAUAGACAGUUAUUUUAUUGGCAAGGAAUAAGUCACACAAAUCAAAUAUCUUAAAGAAAAUCAAUCAAGUACCUUAAUGAAAUUCUCAUUUUGAUAGACGCUUCCCAGUUCACUGACAGGCUCAAUCGACAGUGAUGCCUAGAACGCAACGUGGACCUCAACGCAAAACGUUUUGAUCUUUGAUCUAUUACAGCGCAAUUAUAUCUCUUAGAACUCUGAGAAUUCUGGGUCCCAGGUGAAAGCAAACAAUGACUGAACGAGUCUUUUGAAGGAGAGUUAGAUUGUAAACUGAAGGUAGUAGCCUGUGCAUUGUACUCCUAUUGUACUCUCUCUGCACAUUAUUGCACGCCUACCGAUUGUAACUUGGACGUAACACGAGUUGUAUACGUUAACUUUGAAGUUUUAAACCGCGAUGAGUGGGUGUAGUGUAACGAUUUCAGCUCCAUUGUCAAUAGUGAAUGAUUGAAGACCACUUGUAUGGGACAUUGCACCAUCCUCACUUUAAUUAUGCUAAUGUUUUAUUACCCUGGGUUCCAGAGCGCCAAGGGUCAAAACAAGUAAGGCGUCGAGGAAAUGUUCCUUUUAAGUAUCGUAUUAGGGCGACGUGGUUUCUAUCCAGGGCUGGGUGAUGUAACCCCAAAGAAGUGAAAGCUUAGCGAAAUUGGCUUCUAUCUACCCUUUUUGCACAGAAAACGUUAUUUGCAUUUUUCAUUAUAUUUAUCAAGCUUUUCGUUUGCUUUUGAUCAUGUGUAGAUAGACGUAGAUAUACGUAGAUAUACAAUUAAAAGUGAUAAAAGACUGCAAUUAGACGAGAAAAACAUUUCUUUUAGCCAGUGGUGGCGCCAGGGGAGGGCUAGGAGGCUACAGCCCCUCCGUCGGAAGCACCUAGCCUCCCCCCAUCGGAGGAAAUUUCCAAGUAUCCAAGAAAAGAGGGGUUAUUGAAAAUAGCUAUUUCUCUCUAACACAUGGGCCUCCUUUUUCCUUAUGCACAAUUACAUAAAUCUGAAAGACAGAAGACCUUCUUUUCAAUUUGAUAGUCUAGCUGUGGAUCUUCUCGUUAACAGAACAGGCCGAGAUCCUCUCAAAAAAGUGUACAGGGGACCGUUAGUUACUAGAAAAAUGAUGUUCCUGUGAGCUGGCAGAGUUCAGAAAACACAUCAACCUACCUCCGGAUUAAUUUUUGUCCUAUUGGCAUUCCUCAAAAUUUACUUUUUGAGUUUUAAAUGAAAGUUACAUAUAGAAUUCUGGUAAAAUCCUCUAUUGCUUGCUCUUUACGCUUUGUCAGGAAAAAAGUAAAAUUCAAGCACAGCGGUACAUUUCUCUCACUUUAUAUAUUAUUGUCAAGGUACGCAUUGGCCUUGCCCAAAACGACUGCAUCGUGAGAUAACCUUCCUGCGGGCUCAUAGCCGUGGAACCGUUGUGUUUUCUGAAUUCUGUUAGCUCGUACCAACUUUUCAAGGCAUGAGUCCGAGACAAAAUAAAGAUUCCUCAUUCAAAAUGUUAUCUAGCGAAAGUAAAUUAUAAAGAAACUGUUUACUAAGAAAUCAUUUUUUUCAGAGGACGAACUGCUACUUUCAUAAAGAAUUCACGUGAAUACUAACCCCUGGGCUAAAAUAUUGUUGCUUGGCUGUGGAUGGGAUAUCCGACAUCUUGAGAUACGAAUUAGCUUGCAUUAAAAACUCUGUAAAUUGUUAUCGGUAAUGAGUGAAUUGCAGUAAUGGCCGUUAUGCAUAAAGACAACUCUUGAAAAAAUGUGAAACUAAAUAGACCGCCCUCUUUUCUAUGACAUCAAGAAAAAGCAAAUUAAUUUGCCACGCAUACUUAGAUUUACUGACUUCGACUUUUAGACCUCAAAAUCAAAGUAUUCUGUCGCCGGCUUUAGAUACCAAAUCGACCAUUGCAAAAGUGACAGAAACUAUUUUAUUACAGAGGAACAUAAUGAAAGGCAUGUUCUAAGAAAUACCUGAAAAAGCUAUGAACAACUCACCAAAAACAAAAUUUGAUGUUAAGUCUUCGAUUGAAGUUUCAGGUUGGACCUCGUGCUUCUUGCUUCUACUAUUCAGUGCAGCGCUUGCGUAUAAACGCGCUUAUAUGCAACCAUUUGUCAGUCUUUGCCGGUAGGUGGUCUGCUACGUCACAGCAAAAUCAAUCUCAUUAAUGGGAAAUGAUCUUUGAGAAUUAGAUAAGCUCAUUUCCGCGUCCAGGCAUUUAACAUGGACAACAUGAAAACUGUCGCGAUGUUCGAAUAGAAUUUGAUAAGGCUCUCAUUUUGUCAAUAGUUUUGAUGUUGGUUCCUGAUGUUGUCCAUUAUAGCAGCUUUUAGCGAUAGAGAUAUGGUAGAUGCUUCAUAGAGAUGGUGGGUGGACAUCUCUUAGAGUUCAAUAACAAUAUUUAGAAUGGGAUUCUCUCUUCAUUGAAGUGAUUUGAUUUAAAUUUUUAGAGAAUGAAUCUUUGAGAUUGAAUUCACGAAAUGUGAAGUAUUUUCGUUGCUAUGGUUUUUACUUUACAAUUUUUAAUGGAAACGAGUAUUGGUUUUUUAGGCAGCCGGGUAGUCAAAAUAUUUAUAUAUUUUUGCAGGAAAGAACAAUAAUUUUCGUUUGUUUAAAGGGUGUAACCUUUAUGUGAGAUUUUCUUAAAAAGACAAUCUUCUUUCAACUUGCUUAAGUUGAAGGGUCAAAAUCUAUGUGAGAUUUUCUUAAAAAGACAGUCUCCUUUCAACUUGCUCAAAUUAGAACUUGAAAAUGUGUAAAAAGAAGUCAUUUAUAAUAUCUCACAUCUUAUCAACUGGAAAAGGUUUUUCUUUCAUCAGUUUGAAGAAAACUGUCUUUAUCACUAAUUGAGUUAAAACAAAGAUGCCAGUGACUUAUCUUGUCUCAUCUUUGAUCAUUUUCAUCAAUUCGUACAAUCUUUGAUCACCAAUCACUUUCUCUUAUCUUUUUAUAACUUUGGUCAUUCCUUUGAUUACAUUUGAUCACAUUAAUCGUUGCGUGUGACCUUUGAUCGCUUUGAUCAUAUUGUCUCAUCUUCGAUUACUUUGAUCAUUUUCAUCAAUUCGUACAAUCUUUGAUCACCAAUCACUUUCUCUUAUCUUUUUACAACUUUGGUCAUUCCUUUGAUUACAUUUGAUCACAUUAAUUGUUGCGUGUAACCUUUGAUCACUUUGAUCAUAUUGUCUCAUCUUCGAUUACUUUGAUCAUUUUCAUCAAUUCGUACAAUCUUUGAUCACCAAUCACUUUCUCUUAUCUUUUUACAACUUUGGUCAUUCCUUUGAUUACAUUUGAUCACAUUAAUCGUUGCGUGUGACCUUUGAUCGCUUUGAUCAUAUUGUCUCAUCUUCGAUUACUUUGAUCAUUUUCAUCAAUUCGUACAAUCUUUGAUCACCAAUCACUUUCUCUUAUCUUUCUACAACUUUGGUCAUUCCUUUGAUUACAUUUGAUCACAUUAAUUGUUGCGUGUAACCUUUGAUCACUUUGAUCAUAUUGUCUCAUCUUCGAUUACUUUGAUCUUUUUGUCUGAUCUUUGAUCAUUUUCAUCAUUUCGUAGAAUUUUUAUAUGCCUACAUUUAAUAUAAUAAGACGUGGCCAAGCCCAUGGGUGAUCAAUCAGAUAAACUUGAUACGAAAUUCUUUCAUUAUUUAUGAGAAUUAUAAAUUUGUGAACUAUUAAUUCAAAGAAGUUUAAAAUACUAAUGAGUUAGUUAUUCAUCUCUCACUUGAGUUAGUGGACAAUUUAAAUUCUUGUCUAGUAGAGUUUCGAAAAAAAUUCACAACCGAAGCGUGUUCUUACUUGCAUUCCAUAAUUUGAAAAUUGUCAUCUGUCAAGUUACGAAGUAUUCCUGUCAGAUAAACGUCAGAUUAAAGACUACUCCCUAACAGACUACAAGACGUUUAAUCAAAGGGAAAUUUCAGAAAGAAAACACCCUUGAUCUAACUUCAAGAAACAUCA